UACGUAGGCAGCAAACGUUGUUCGGAAUUACUGGGCGUAAAGAGUGUGUAGGCGGUUUCGUAAGUUUGGUGUGAAAUCUCCCGGCUUAACUGGGAGGGUGCGCCGAAAACUGCGAGGCUUGAGUACUGGAGAGGAGAGCGGAAUUCCUGGUGUAGCGGUGAAAUGCGUAGAUAUCGAGAGGAACACCUGCGGCGAAGGCGGGUUGCUAGGCUGACACUGACGCUGAGGCGCGAAAGCGUGGGGAGCAAACAGG
rnacentral:rRNA from 1 species